AUUAGAACAUUUGAAGAUAAGACAAAUCAAAGUGAAAUUGCCAUUAACAAAUAAGACAGAGGCGUGUGAGUGUGUGAUGUCUUUAAGUAAACAUUUCCAAACCUUGAGUGUGCUAAUUGGCUAUCACUACAACGGUGUUCCUAACAAUAUUUUACAAAGUAUCAACUAAUUUCACAAAAGAUAAAUACGUAGAACAGUGAAAAAGUUUGAUUCUAGCUCCAGGCUCUUUGUUCGAGGUCUUCACGCUUCAUAAUCAGCGAUAGCCAUGGUUUUCCAGUUUGGCGUAAAAAGAGUCAAAUGUCUUGAUUACGAAUGUAAAAAGAGCGUUAUUACAUAUGUUGGAGCACUUUCGAAACCGUUGAAGCGGAAUUUCUUUUUCUGGCAAACAUACUUACACCAAAUAGAGAAAGGGUGUUGAAGACUGGAACUAAUGAAGAAUUAAAUCAUUAAUAUUUAACUAGAACAAUUAAAGAUAAGAAAAAUCAAUGUGAAAAUGCCAUUAACAAAUAAGACAAGCGUGCGAGAGUGUGAUGUCUUUAAAUAAAUAUUUCCAAACUUUGAGUAUGUUGGCUAUCAAUUUAACCUGCAACGGUGUUCCCAGUGAUACUUUACAAAGUUUCAACUAAUUUCAUAAAAGAUAAAUACGUAAAACAGUGAAAAAGAUUUUAAUUUGAUGCCAGGCUCUUCAUUUCUAAUUUGUUCCAGGCUUUUUGGUCGAGGUUUGGUGAUUGCCAGCGAGAAUGCCAGGGUGUCCAGUUUGGCGUAAAAAGAGUCAAAAUUCUUGAUUUUGGUAAUUUUUGGCUUCUUUUCAGUGACUAACAUACAUUGUUGAUAAAAUAGUUAUGCAGUAGUAGCAAUCAGACAUUCAUUGACAAAACAACGAAAUACUUGAUCAAUGUAGCGUCAAGUCCAGUCACUUGGCGACCCUGGAUCUGCUUGGGAAUGUUUUCAAAUGACUAAAAGCUUUGUUAUUUGUUAUAAGGGGUCGUUUUCUUGCUAAUACACAAGAGGGAUUAAAUCUUAUGGUUAAAAUCAGUGCGUUGAAAGAAAAUAAAAUUGCAGUAGAAUUUAACAAA